AUGUGCUGCAGCGGCAUGCGGGCACAACGGGCCUCCAGGAAGCGCUCGAGGUCCGCCAGCUGGCCGGGAUUUAGCUGCAGCUGGUCAUAUGAGUCAGGAACAGCA
rnacentral:sRNA from 1 species